GGGUGCGAUCAUACCAGCACUAAUGCACCGGAUCCCAUCAGAACUCCGCACCUUAAGCGUGCUUGGGCGAGAGUAGAACUAGGAUGGGUGACCUCCUGGGAAGUCCUCGUGUUGCACCCC
rfam:Corchorus capsularis cultivar CVL-1 contig06200, whole genome shotgun sequence.